CUUGUAGUUUUGAAGCCUGAUGUCUUGGGAUCUCAUAAAGCUCAGAGCAAGUGCUCUGUGAGAGAGAUCAUCUUCUCUGACAGCGCAGCGUUCUGGUUUCCAGUCCUGAGAAGAUGAGGUCUGUGGUCUCUUGUUCCAGGGGUUUCCAACAGGUUUCUUUUCUGACUUAUUCAUACAAGGUGCUGAAAAUGACGGAAGAGCUGAUGAGAAUGGGGAUGGUGAAGAUGUUGGGAAAACAGUCACACAUGUCUGAAUCAGAGACCAAUAACCUGUCUGCUGGCAAGUUAUGUUUUUGUUCACUUGUUAUUAUGAAGCUAGAAGUUAGUUCUCUGAUAUUUAAUUUUUAUUUUAUGGGUGGAUUUUGCAUUUUUUUUACAAAAAAACUCAGGCAAUCAGGAGAACAAAACAAGAUAGGGAUGAAGAGAGAGCUGAAAUGCAAAACACUCUUGUUUUGCUGGGGUCAGACACCACGCAGGUCACUUCACCUGUGCCUUAGCUCAGCUUUAUGUAAGUUGCAAUCAAAGUUUUCCUUGUAGAAGUGGCUUGAUGUUUAUUGCUGUAAAGCAACUCUAUCUUAGGGCUUAUAUAGGGCUUACAGUUAAUAACUGCACAGGGAGUUAUUUAACAACAUUAACAGCAAUGACAGUGUUAUCAAAUCAGUGGUGUGUUUUCCACAGAAUUCAACACUUUUUGAAGGAGGAAAAUAGUGAGGCUGCUUUGGGCUCAGCCUUGUUUUCUCAUCAUACCCUGCCCUCCCUGGCCUAAGAUCCUGGAACGAAACUUUCCAAGCAAAGUUGCUUUUCUUGUUACUUUAAAGACAUCUUGAGAGCAUACCUAUUUUUUCUGCUUAUAUUUUUCCAGCCUGCUUGUUGUUUAAGCAAGAGGACCUUUUCCUACAGCUUAGUGUGUUCAGAAGGGAGAACUUUCUGCCAAAUUCCAUUUCCCCCCUUCUAUUAAGAUUGUAAAGUUGUUGGUGCUGGAGCGUGUCCAGAGAAGGGCUUACACCUUACCUUGCACACACUGACUUUCUCAGCCCACCUUUCCCACCUGUAAGUACCUACACCAGGAGAGGCAGGUGAGUACAGGAAUCUUCCACCCAAAUUACACUUCCAGCAGCUUCUUAUGAGCUGCUGGUUUAAAAUUUCUCUUUGUAACAUGGCCUUGGCCAGAGUAGUGUUGGCCAGGUCCUCUUCACAGCCCAUGUUUGCCUCCCCCACAGACAUGAAGACAGCAGCACACUAUCCAAAAGCCUUGCCUACCUCUUGUUUAUCCCUAAGAUGAUGAUACACUUAAAAAGCUCCAUGGUCUGUAAAGAGAAUGAUCAAACAAUAGCUUCUGCAUAAGUUAGUUGUGGAACCAGUAUAUUGGCAGGUGUAUGAGGUUUUUAAAUCCUUCUGCCGUAGCAAGGAUAAAAUUCCCAACACAAAUGGCAACUCUGCAGCAAGAUUCUGACAUAAUUACUGUAAUUAUAUUGUCUCUGCACUCUCUUAUAAUCAUUGACAGUAUGUAUUUAAUGAGCCCUUUCCCGUUCAGCAGGUUGCUCCCAGCCUCUCAGAUUUACAACUGCAAUGCAGAGGUAUCUCAGAAUAAAAUUAACCCUUGGAAGCAAGGCCCCUUUCUGGGAGGAUGCUGGAGAGUCUCUCAGAGACUGGCACUGCCCGCCCUUCCCUGCAUGGCUGGAACACACAGACAGGCUUCAGAGCUGGGCUGAUCUGCCUUGAUGCUUUGCAGAUUGAGGGGUUUCUGUGGCUUGGACUGGACCUGCAGUGACAUCUCCUGGUCCCCCCGAGGUGAGGUGCUGGCUGCUGAGUGGCACAGCCCCCGGACCCAAAGCUGCCCCGGAGCACAGGACUGCUCAGCACAAACCUCCCCAGGGUCACAUCUCCACCGGGGUGGCUGAAUGUCCAGGGGGAAAAAACACACACCUCCCCCUGACACGUCCCUUCACCUUCACCUGCAGCACCAGAAGAGCCUUCAGAAAUCAUCAUUUUAAGCAUGAAGGUAAAUCAGCCAUGAAAAUGAGAUCAUUGCACGGAGAGCCUGUGGGCGGGCUGUACUUGCCUGCAAAGCCUUGGUGCUUUUAACUGGAGACAGGGAGAGGAGUUAAUCUGUCUCCUCCUGUGCUUAUGUCUGUCUGAGACUCACAUGUGAACAGGAUGUUUUGCACUUCACCACUUCUUUUGUUGUGACUCUCAAACAAUUUCCCACUGAAAACCAACAGGCUUGCUGUUGGCAUCUUAGUAGAGGAAAUUAAAUCCAGCAUUUCAGUGUUAUCUGAUUUCACAUCCCUGCACAUCAUUGUAUAAUUUCACCACCUACUCAUCCUUUUUCUUCACACACAAGUGCAUUUAGAGAAAAUAUAAUUGUUGAACGAAUACUUAGUCAGAGAAAGGUUGUAAUCAGCUCGGAUAGAAAUCAGACAGCUUAUUCACUUGAAAAAAAAGGGGAAAGGAGGAGGAAAUUAAAUGGAAUAAUUUCUUUCCUGUGAACUUAGGGCACCAAAAAUUGUAUGGUAAACUAUAACAAGAGAAGAAAAACAGUUUAAAAACUUAGCAGGCAACAGUAUUCCUCAGCUAUUGCACUAAAAAUAACAUGGAAGUCAAAGAUCUGAUUCAUUUGAUGUCUUCUGUGUUCAUUUAAAAAUAAUUUUAAAGUUACAACCAAAGACUCACAAAUUUUUCCCAGAGCAAAAUAACUGGAUGUCCCCUGUAAAUCAUCAGAUAUAUCAACACUUACCAUCAGGUAGCAGCAACUGAGUCGUGCUGGGAGAACAUGCACAAUGCAGACACCUAAGAUCAAAACUGGGAUUUGAAAAGUUGCUCCAUACUGUCUAAUCCAUCAAAAUACUCAGUCCUAGGAAAGAGGACAAGUCUGGCACACUGCUGAGCACCUCAGGCACUGAGCUUACGGAGUCCGCGAGUCCAUCCUCUCAGGCACCUUCCUCCAGCUAAUUUGCUGCAGAGCCAGCACAAGCAGCAGUCCCAGGCCAGUCCCUCACUCUGCUGGGGGCUGCAGGCAGGUGGCCCCAUGGAGACAAGGACAGUUCAUAAUUACACUGCAUACAGAAAUGCAAUGAAAUGCAAACCCCCAGCGAGACUGGAUGUGCAUCAGGAGCUCAAGUUUAACAAGAGCACAUGAUCACGAGUGUUAGGACUAUCACCCAUAUUUCUUUUUCUUGACUGUGUAGAACUAUUCUAACUUUCUCAUAGACAUUUUUGCCUUGGGGGUGUUGGUUGAUGAGAAGUUUAACAUGACCCAGCAAUGUGUGCUUGCAGCCCAGAAAGCCAACCAUAUCCUGGGCUGCAUCCAACACAGUGUGGCCAGCAGGGGGAAGGGAAUUCUGCCUCUCUGGCCCACUCUGAGACCCCCCUGGAGUGCUGCAUCUUAUGUCCAACAUAAGUGGGACAUGGACCUGCUGCAACAACUACAGAGGAGGCCACAAAGCUGUUCAGAGGGCUGGAGAACCUCUGCCAUGAAGGCAGGCUGAGAGAGUCGGGGCUGUUCAGCCUGGAGACAAGAAGGCUCCAAGGAGAACUUAGAGCACCUUCCAGGGCCUGAAGGGGGCUAUGAGAGAGCCGGAGAGGGACUUUUGACAGGGGCAUGUAGUGAUUAGACAAGGGGGAAUGGCUUUAAACUGACAGAGGGUAGGUUUACAUUAAAUAUUAGGAAGAAAUUCUUUACUGUGAGGGUGGUGAGGCACUGGCACAGGUUGCUAGGAGAAGUUGUGGAUCCCUGGCAGUGUCCAAAGACAGGUUGGAUGGAGCUCUGAGUAACCCAGUCUAGUGGGAGGUGUCCCUGCCCAUGGCAGGGGAGUUGGACAGGAUGAAUUCUAAGGACCCUUUCAACCCAAACCAUUCUAUGCUUCCAUGAUUUAUGCAAGUUUCACAGCCAUUUAAAGCCUAAGACAUUAUGCAAAUAUAAUGAGCAAAACUUUUCCAGUUCAUUUCAAGUAUGAAAUAAGUCAGGUUCUUCAGCACUUCUUAAGAGCAGGAUAGUGUGGUCAGUCCUCUCCAAUAAUUUUUUAGUUCAUAUUACUUUCACAGAAAUAAGAGACAGCCCAUCUGGGGAGAAGGUCAGGAGCUGGUGUAGGGCAGCUGCCUGCCCACGGGAGGAUUCACCUCUGACUAACACAUUAUCACCAAGUAUGUGCCUCACUGCCAUGUGCAUCUGAAGAGCCCCCAUCUGAAACCUCUUCCAGUGCUCCACAAUCUUUUCUGUAACAUGGUUCCUCCCUAGUGACUAAUCUAAAUAUUCUUUGCUUAAAGAAACCUAUUAUUUUCUUGUUCUAUUCACCAUGAACAUAAAAGACACUGAAAAGAUGAAAGGAAUAAAUUGUUCCCUUUGUGUCUUGAGACUUGUAUUUCCUUAUGCUGUUCUGUAAGAAAAAUUACUCAAACUCCACCAAUCUUCUUCUAUUUCUCAUCUCUUAUACUUACAUUCUCACGUUUUCUAGAUUUCUAUUAAAUCUCAUUGCUCUUCUCUGAACUGGUUUUUCCUAACAAGCAUGACAUAUAAAACUAGACCUGCUGUUUCAGCUGAUGCCUCUCCAGAGCAGAACAGAAUGAGGUAUUUUGUCAUAUGGGUGAUACAGUCUUUAUACCUCUCUAUGUUUCUCUUCAUUUUGCAGGAUCACUGUGUUGUUAGAAUGGGUCACAAAAUGAAUGCCAGACAACUACCUGACCUUUUUCAGCUACGUUGACCUUUAAUUCCUCUCUGUUCUGUUUGCAAAGUUUCCUGGUUCUGUCCAAUUCCCCAAGAUGAUUUGGAAUCCUAUUUCUACCCUUUAACAUGUUUGCAACCUCACCUGUCUCAACAUGAAACAACAAUGUCUCUUUUUCCCUCCUAUAUAUCCUGCCCGAAAGAGAUCACAAAGCAGUCACAAAACCUUGUCCAUAUGUACCCUGAAUCAAAAUAUCUCUGUUUAUGC